rnacentral:rRNA from 1 species
GAUGAACGCUAGCUACAGGCUUAACACAUGCAAGUCGAGGGGUCUUGAGGAAGCUUGCUUUCGAGAGACGACCGGCGCACGGGUGAGUAACGCGUAUCCAACCUGCCCUUCAUAUUGGGAUAGCCUUCCGAAAGGAAGAUUAAUAGCGAAUAACAUAGAGUGGUUGCCUGAUUUCUCUAUGAAAGCUCCGGCGAUGAAGGAUGGGGAUGCGUUCCAUUAGGUAGUAGGCGGGGUAACGGCCCACCUAGCCGACGAUGGAUAGGGGUUCUGAGAGGAAGGUCCCCCACACUGGAACUGAGACACGGUCCAGACUCCUACGGGAGGCAGCAGUGAGGAAUAUUGGUCAAUGGGCGCAAGCCUGAACCAGCCAAGUAGCGUGAAGGAAGACUGCCCUAUGGGUUGUAAACUUCUUUUAUACGGGAACAAACCCUGGUACGUGUACCAGAUUGCGUGUACCGUAUGAAUAAGCAUCGGCUAACUCCGUGCCAGCAGCCGCCGCAGUAA